GUCCUUUGGGGUGAGGUAGUAGGUUGUAUAGUUUUAGGGUUAUACCCUGCCUGUCAGAUAACUAUACAAUCUACUGUCUUUCCUGAAGUGGCU
ensembl:miRNA